GACGAACGCUGGCGGCGUGCCUAACACAUGCAAGUCGAGCGGGGAUGAUGGAGAGCUUGCUCAAAAUCAUUCUAGCGGCGGACGGGUGAGUAACGCGUGAGCAACCUGCCUUCUACUGGGGAAUAACGCACCGAAAGGUGUGCUAAUACCGCAUGAGACCACAGUACCGCAUGGUACAGAGGUCAAAGAUUUAUCGCUGAGAGGUGGGCUCGCGUCCGAUUAGAUAGUUGGUGAGGUAACGGCUCACCAAGUCGACGAUCGGUAGCCGACCUGAGAGGGUGAUCGGCCACAUUGGGACUGAGACACGGCCCAAACUCCUACGGGAGGCAGCAGUGGGGAAUAUUGGGCAAUGGGCGAAAGCCUGACCCAGCAACGCCGCGUGAAGGAAGAAGGUCUUCGGAUCGUAAACUUCUGUCCUAAGUGAAGAGAAGAAGACGGUAGCUUAGGAGGAAGCCCCGGCUAACUACGUG
rnacentral:rRNA from 1 species